GUGGCAUAGCAGAUGGCUGCUUAGCUAGGCUAAGAGGAAAGUCCGAGCUGCAAUGAGGCAGGGUUCCACCUAACGGGUGGCCGACGAAGCCUUUUAGGAUAAGUCGAGGGAUAGUGCAACAGAAAAUAGACCGCCUAUUUAAUAAAAUAGGUAAGGGUGAAAAGGUGAGGUAAGAGCUCACCGCUUUUGUAGUAAUACAAAAGGCAGUGUAAACCCAACUCGCAGCAAGUUAGACCUGGUUAAAGCCUCAUAUAUUUGAGUCUAACGCAAGAGCUUUAUGGUGACAUAAAGCCAUAGAUAAAUAGCCAUCAAAUACAGAACUCGGCUUAUAGCUAUGCCAUCUUU
rnacentral:RNase_P_RNA from 1 species